GCGUCUGUGAUUCAGUGGUAGAAUUCUUGCCUUCCAAGCAAGCGACCCGGGUUCGAAUCCCGGCGGACGCA
rnacentral:tRNA from 1 species